UACGUAGGUGGCAAGCGUUGUCCGGAUUUAUUGGGCGUAAAGAGCUCGUAGGCGGCUUGUCGCGUCGACCGUGAAAACUUGGGGCUCAACCCCAAGCCUGCGGUCGAUACGGGCAGGCUAGAGUUCGGUAGGGGAGACUGGAAUUCCUGGUGUAGCGGUGAAAUGCGCAGAUAUCAGGAGGAACACCGAUGGCGAAGGCAGGUCUCUGGGCCAUAACUGACGCUGAGAAGCGAAAGCAUGGGGAGCGAACAGG
rnacentral:rRNA from 1 species